rnacentral:rRNA from 1 species
UACAGAGGGGGCAAGCGUUGUUCGGAAUUACUGGGCGUAAAGGGCGCGUAGGUGGCAUGAUAAGGGUGUGGUGAAAGCCCGGGGCUCAACCCCGGGUCUGCCAUGCCGACUGUCACGCUAGAGUACUGUAGGGGCAGGCGGAAUUCCGGGUGUAGCGGUGGAGUGCGUAGAGAUCCGGAAGAACACCAGUGGCGAAGGCGGUCUGCUGGGCAGUUGCUGACACUGAUGCGCGACAGCGUGGGGAGCAAACAGG